GGCACCCAGACCCCAGACUCUCACCUUGGACCAUUGCCUAGGUAGAAAUAAGACACCAGAGAGCUCCCUGCCAUGUUCCAGGCCUUCUCAGUAGAACAAAGCUGUACAUUCCCAAGUCAUCUGUGGCAGAGGGGUCACAAAGUCUGUUUCCCUGCUGAUGAGGCAAAGAGGGCCUGGGAUCCAAGCACACAGGAGCAAGAAGCAGGAGGUUUUCAACUUUGAGGUAACCUUGUUAUCUCAGUCCAAGUCUCUGACCACACUGCUCUGGUGAUACCUGGCAACGAGAAACCAUGGAUAAACACUUGGUGAAUUAAUGAAGUAGGAAUGAAUGUGUGGCUUGCUUACAUCCAGACUCUCCAUGAAGUCUUCCUUGUUUCCAGCCCCGACAACCCCAGUGCACCGAAUCUCUAGGAGGAAGGAGGCUGAGCACAGCAGAGAAGAAAGGUGUGGACCAGGUCCUUCAGCAGCCCUGAGAACUGAAAAGAGAGGAAGGCAGACCCUUCAUGAUGGAGACGGACAAGGCUUAUUCCCUGACUGUGUGCAUCUCCUGGAAAUAACUGCAGGAAAGCCAGAGGGAGCCUGUGUCUCUGUACCAAACUCAGGCUUCCAGCCUUGGCAACAAGCCCCUUCACCUGCUGAGCCAUCUCGAUGACCUGCUGGUACCCACUUAAGGCCUGCAUCCGUCUCUGC
rnacentral:lncRNA from 1 species